CACAGACUUAAUUUCACUUUUAAUAGUUAUUAUGCACCCGGAAAAGUCUGUUAGCAGGCUACCUGCUGUUGCAUAUAUUCCCCCCCAAAAAAUGCAUUAAAACCACCCACAUUUCAAAAAUAGGUCUAAGAUGUUAUCCAACCGUAACAAAAUUAUUUCCACUGAAGAAGGAAAGUCAUUAGAAUAGGAAAAAAAUAAAUGAUUCCUACAGUUAUUUUGGGAACGUCUCCUUCAGGGCUUGUCUACAACUCCACCAGACUCUGGUUUUCAAUCAUUAGUAUGCUUGUUUGAUUACAGAUGCCAAAUUUCUUGGGGGAGCACGGGGGCGGAGAGUUUUCUACCCCAACCCCUAAAGGAUAACUAAAAUUACUUUUUUUUUUCUCCUCCCUUAAACUGAAAAGGAUUAAAUGAUUUUUACGUAGCCCCUCCUAUUGUGAAUGGUGAACAUUAUGCAUAUAAAUUAUUCCAGUAUGGGAACAACAUUUGAAAACACCCUAAACACAGAGAGCUUUACAGCUACAAAGCUUAAGCAACUCAAAGCUUAAUCAUGUCACAAUUACAGGAUACCCAUUUAACCUUAAUUUGGCUCCUUUACAUACACAAACUAAUUACAGAGCAUGUUUCCCAGAGUAAGCAUACCUUCUUUGAAACGAGGCAAGCUUGAGAUGUCAGUGGUUAAACCUUUGAAAAUUGUUUUUGUUUUGCCAGGUGAAGAAAAAAAAAAUAUGUGAACACUGAAAGACAUGCAUGGCUCCAAUAGGAAAAAGGGCCACAGCUGAGAGAAAAGGAAGAACUGAACACUCCGGUCCCGAUCCAGUUUGAUGAACUGCUCGUUAAGCUGUGAAGCAAUGGAGAUAAUGCAGCAAGCACUCCCCAAGCACUGGAAGCGGCGGAUGGAGACAGAUAAGUCCUCUCUAACAACUUUUAUGUGCAUCCCUCCACAGGAAGGCCCUUUUCAGGCCUAACAGGUAACACAAGAUGAGAUAUACGGCUCCACAGUCCACUCAGCUUAUCUGUAUCCAUGCUAUUGUAAGAACUAGGA